rnacentral:rRNA from 1 species
GAUUAACGCUGGCGGCGUGCUUAACACAUGCAAGUCGAGCGGUAAGGCCCUUUCGGGGGUACACGAGCGGCGAACGGGUGAGUAACACGUGGGUGACCUGCCCUUAGCUCUGGGAUAAGCCUGGGAAACUGGGUCUAAUACCGGAUAUGACUCCAUGACGCAUGUUGUGGGGUGGAAAGCCUUGUGCGGCUGAGGAUGGGCCCGCGGCCUAUCAGCUUGUUGGUGGGGUGAUGGCCACCAAGGCGACGACGGGUAGCCGGCCUGAGAGGGCGACCGGCCACACUGGGACUGAGAUACGGCCCAGACUCCUACGGGAGGCAGCAGUGGGGAAUCUUGCGCAAUGGGCGAAAGCCUGACGCAGCGACGCCGCGUGAGGGAUGACGGCCUGU